AUGAACGCUGGCGGCGUGCUUAACACAUGCAAGUCGCACGGGAAACCUUUUAUUGAAGCUUCGGCAGAUUUAGCUGGUUUCUAGUGGCGGACGGGUGAGUAACGCGUGGGUAACCUGCCUUAUACAGGGGGAUAACAGUCAGAAAUGGCUGCUAAUACCGCAUAAGCGCACAGAGCUGCAUGGCUCAGUGUGGAAAACUCCGGUGGUAUAAGAUGGACCCGCGUUGGAUUAGCUGGUUGGUGGGGUAACGGCCCACCAAGGCGACGAUCCAUAGCCGGCCUGAGAGGGUGAACGGCCACAUUGGGACUGAGACACGGCCCAGACUCCUACGGGAGGCAGCAGUGGGGAAUAUUGCACAAUGGGGGAAACCCUGAUGCAGCGACGCCGCGUGAAGGAAGAAGUAUCUCGGUAUGUAAACUUCUAUCAGCAGGGAAGAUAAUGACGGUACCUGACUAAGAAGCCCCGGCUAACUACGUG
rnacentral:rRNA from 1 species